rnacentral:misc_RNA from 1 species
UUCCAUUUGAAAGGCUCUUAUCCUAAAAGCAAAAACAUCAAAACACCAAAUGGUUAAUUAUAUGUUAAAAUCUAUUAAGUUCCACAUUGGUUGGGUAUUGGACAAAAUUGUUUCACAUAUGAUUUACGCAAUCCUCCUCCCACAAGGUGGGCUUUGGGUGAAAUUAGGUUCUGUCCAUUUUAUCAACAUGGUAUCAGAGCCAGCCCCAAUCUCGAUGUUGGGCCACCCAAAAAUGUUAGUCUUGCAAACUUCAUGCUCUAGAUGUCAAGUCUUAGGCAUGAAGGGGAUGUGUUAAUUUCCACAUCGACUAGGUAUUGGGGAAAAAUGCUUCAUAUGUGACUUGGCAAUCCUCAUCUUACAAGGUGCCUUUUGAGGUAAAGUCAAGGUCAGUCUAUUUUAACAACAAAAUCUAAUUGCAAACAAAUUCAUUGUUUUCUUAAUUACCUUGAAGCUUUCCAUUUGAGAUU